UUUUUUCUUUUCUGCCUCUUUCACGAGAAUAAACAAUUUAAUAAGAUUGACUACAGCAGGUGUGUGGUAGUUGAGGCUAUUCUUAGGCUGGAAUAUGGAGCGCUACGUCGGGAUGGUUACUCCAGGGAAAGAAAGAAGACGCUGAUAGGCGAAGAGUCCAUGUAGACGCACGACAUAAUCUGGUGCUUUCUCGCGGAUAGUCCCUUGCUUCAUGAUUCCAGUCGCGAUGUGCACGCUCUUUCUUCCGUGGCUCAUGAGCUCCUUCUCCGCCGUCACGCUUGCAGUGCAGCAGAACCCAUUGCUCAUCAUCCUCAGAAUCUCCCUCUUGUCUACUGACCAGAAGUGGCUGAACCCAUUUUUAUCCUCUUAAGCAGCAUCACCUUCAGUGUGGUAUCAGAAAACUGCAGGUUGUGUGACUGACAAAAUGGAAAAAAAUCUGUGCAUGUUUGAGCUACAGAGCGAAACAUGGACAGGGAAUCUGAUCUGGCGAUAACCGGCCCAUCUAGAACUUGUUUACUGGUCCACGACACGAUGCAGUGUGGCUGUGGCUCUGAGAAGCUCAUGCCAAACUCUGCACAGAGUCUUCAUUCAACAUGUGAACAAGCUUCAUUUGAACUCCAAAGGCGCCGUCGGGGAGAUGGGUCGUGAACUGGUGCACCCAACUCGUGGAGUGUCGGUAGCAUUAGUCAAAAUGCUGGGCACCACCGACAAACACAAAGAUGGGAUCUUUGAUGUUGGUUUGUGCAACUACCGCUGCUAGUGGAUUUUCGUAUUCUUUUUGACAUGAGCGAGGUUUCUGGUUGUUUAGAUUAAAGAGGGAAACAUGAACAGUGUGCUCUAAUACCUCUCUUUGAAUUGAGAAGGUAGGCAUAGGGGCAAAGAAAUCAUAGUACAUUGUACAUUGAUACCUAACCUACAAAGUUAUUUCAAAUGUAUGGAAAACAUGGCCACCAUCAGGUACUUUACUUCACCUCUAGGUUUUCAUUUCA